GUGGGGAAUAUUGGGCAAUGGGCGAAAGCCUGACCCAGCAACGCCGCGUGAAGGAAGAAGGUUUUCGGAUCGUAAACUUCUAUCAUUGGUGAAGAUAAUGACGGUAGCCAAGAAGGAAGCCACGGCUAACUACGUGCCAGCAGCCGCGGUAAUACGUAGGGGGCAAGCGUAGUCCGGAAUGAUUGGGCGUAAAGGGCGCGUAGGCGGCCUGGUAAGUCUGGAGUGAAAGUCCUGCUUGUAAGGUGGGGAUUGCUUUGGAUACUGUCGGGCUUGAGUGCAGGUGAGGUAAGUGGAAUUCCCGGUGUAGCGGUGAAAUGCGUAGAGAUCGCGAGGAACACCAGUGGCUAAGGCGACUUACUGGACUGUAACUGACGCUGAGGCGCGAAAGUGUGGGUUGCAAACAGGAUUAGAUACCAUGGUAGUCC
rnacentral:rRNA from 1 species